CCUACGGGGGGCUGCAGUGGGGAAUAUUGGACAAUGGGGGCAACCCUGAUGCAGCCAUGCCGCGUGUGUGAAGAAGGCCCUCGGGUUGUAAAGCACUUUCAGUGAGGAAGAACGCCUGGUGGUUAAUACCCAUCAGGAAAGACAUCACUCACAGAAGAAGCACCGGCUAACUCCGUGCCAGCAGCCGCGGUAAUACGGAGGGUGCGAGCGUUAAUCGGAAUUACUGGGCGUAAAGCGCGCGUAGGUGGCUUGAUAAGCCGGUUGUGAAAGCCCCGGGCUCAACCUGGGAACGGCAUCCGGAACUGUCAAGCUAGAGUGCAGGAGAGGAAGGUAGAAUUCCCGGUGUAGCGGUGAAAUGCGUAGAGAUCGGGAGGAAUACCAGUGGCGAAGGCGGCCUUCUGGACUGACACUGACACUGAGGUGCGAAAGCGUGGGUAGCAAACAGGAUUAGAUACCCGAGUAGUC
rnacentral:rRNA from 1 species